CAAGCCAAGGAAAUAUAAACAAUCGUGUCCCCAAGCCUGGACACUGGGAGAAGGCUGCACGACUCCUGUCACUGGUCCCAUGGCCACAUGGAGGCGUUCCUUCAGGCAACAGAGUCAUGAUUUAAAGCUUCAAGCAUAUGAUUAUGAGAUGGUGAUUCUCAACAUUUACCACAACCUCCCAGCAAACCACACAACAGCCAACUCUCAAGAUUUCUUCCAGGAGGGCAGAAGGAUUUUUCUCCCCACAUGCCAUCCAACUCCAUGGGAAAACAUUAGCACUGACAAAUGACCCUGGAUGAACACUUGAAUCUGAGGUGAAUAUGAAC